AAGCGCUAGAUUAUUUGCUGGGAGGACGACAAAUAUAAAACACCCAGUCCCACACACUCAGAAACUCACAAAUGAGGCUAAUCAAGAACCUAGAGACACAAAACACCGCUUGCAUGCACGCGCUUAUAGUUCCCAAACUGGUUCUUUAGACAUAAGGAUGCAGGACCUCGACCAGUUCUGGGGAGGAGGAUGUGGAAGUCGAUCAGGGUUGAUACAGGCUGGGGCCUCAGGGAGAGAAGGGGCAGGAAGGGGAAGUAAGGCUGGCGGGUCCCACACCAAGGUCCAACUGGGAAAGAGGCGGCUCACAGAGUGGAUGGCCUAGCAGAGCCACUCUCCACUGGUAUUCAUAGCUCAGCCGAUUCCCUGGCGUUCCUUUCCUGGACGAAAGGGUCGGAAAGAUCCGGGCAGUGGCCGGAAGAGGCGGGACUCGGAACGGAAGUCCCUUGGCCUGCUUAAGUCACGUGAGAGGCGAUGUUUCGAGCCCAGCUCGCGCGCAGGAAGCAUGGCACUCUGGCGAGCAUACCAGCGGGCCCUGGCUGCUCAUCCGUGGAAAGUACAGGUCUUGACCGCUGGACUAUCUGGAUGAAUAGUCAUUUCUGGAGAAAAGGAGAAAUCUUUAUCCACUGGCUCCCAUCCUACAUUGGCCAAAGGUUCACCCCAUGGGGUGUUAACUUCCCUCCAGUACUAGGCUUAAAGUGCAUAGUCGCUGAAGGCAUUAGUAGCAAAGCCCCAGGAUCUCUGAUGGGCCUGGGUGACAUUAUCUCACAGCAGCUGGUGGAGAGGCGGGGUCUGCGGGAACACCAGACUGGCCGGACCCUUACCAUGGUAUCUCUGGGCUGUGGCUUUGUGGGCCCUGUGGUAGGAGGCUGGUACAAGGUUUUAGAUCGGUUCAUCCCUGGCACCACCAAGGUGGAUGCACUAAAGAAGAUGUUGUUGGAUCAGGGAGGCUUUGCCCCAUGUUUUCUUGGCUGCUUCCUCCCCCUGGUAGGGGCAUUCAAUGGACUGUCAGCCCAGGACAACUGGGCCAAACUACAGCGGGAUUAUCCUGAUGCCCUCAUCACCAACUACUAUCUCUGGCCUGCUGUGCAGUUAGCCAAUUUCUACCUGAUCCCCCUUCAUUACAGGUUGGCUGUUGUCCAGUGUGUUGCUGUUAUCUGGAACUCCUACCUGUCCUGGAAGGCACAUCGACUCUAAGUCUGCCUUGCUUCAUCGUUUCCACCUAGCAGGGAUGCAGCUUGACCCUGGAACGCGCUAUCCUCAGGGACGCGAAGUCUAGUGUCCGGAGGUGCGCUCCUCUGAGGCUUCUACAAUCAUUGCAUGUUCUCCGCUGACGUCAGUCGGAGCUGUCCUGGCACUAUAUAAGGCUGGCGGCAGUCCCGGGGCCGAC